GACGAACGCUGGCGGCGUGCCUAAAACAUGCAAGUCGAACGGGGUAGCAAUACCUAGUGGCGAACGACGGAGUAAUACAUAAGCAACGUGCCCCAAAGACCGGGAUAGUCAUUGGAAACGAUGGGUAAUACCGGAUGUGGCGAGUUGAGGACAUCCUCGACUCAUUAAAGGGUUUUUCGCUUUGGGAGCGGCUUAUGGCCUAUCAGGUAGUUGGUGAGGUAACGGCUCACCAAGCCGACGACGGGUAGCGGGUCUGAGAGGAUGAUCCGCUCGAGUGGGACUGAGACACGGCCCACACACCUACGGGUGGCAGCAGUUGGGAAUCUUGCACAAUGGGGGAAACCCUGAUGCAGCGACGUCGCGUGGAGGAUGAAGGGUCUAGGCUCGUAAACUCCUUUUGCACGGAAAGACUUAGGACGGUACCGUGCGAAUAAGCACCGGCUAACUACGUGCCAGCAGCCGCGGUAAGACGUAGGGUGCAAGCGUUGUCCGGAUUUACUGGGCGUAAAGAGCGCGUAGGCGGUCUGUUAAGUGAGAAGUGAAAUCUCCAGAGCUCAACUCGGAAACUGCUUUUCAUACUGGCGGACUAGAGAGAUGCAGAGGUAUGUGGAAUUCCUGGUGUAGCGGUGAAAUGCAUAGAUAUC
rnacentral:rRNA from 1 species